AAAGUCGUAACAAGGUUUCCGUAGGUGAACCUGCGGAAGGAUCAUUAACACGUAUCCAACGUUAAAACAACCCUGUGAACCUUCAUUCCUGCUCUCCUUGUGGCUUGAGAAAGCAAUCUCUGGUAAAUCACGCAAACAGUUUGAUUCAGAGACCUCUAUCUCAAGUAGCUUGGAUUUGAUGCGGUCGACGUAUGAGACUUGCCCUUGCGGGGUAGUCAGUGGGUGAAAGUGCCACUGGUUACUUAAGCGGAGGUACUGCACCUGGAUUAACCGGGGUUGGAUCAUCGCGUGUCAGCCACUGACCGAUGAACAAGUCUCCUGAGCACCAAGCUCCCGAAUAUUAACCCCGUCCCCAACCUUUGGUGAUUACUGGUCGCUUUGCGAUAGGUGUCAUCUGUGAAAGCUGAACAACUGUUAACAAUGGAUAUCUUGGUUCUC
rnacentral:misc_RNA from 1 species